AAACGCGUCUGACGUGCCGGGUGCUUGGGGAAGUGUCGGCUUGUUCGGAGCCAUUUGUUAUUUAGUUUUAUUUUUUUUGUGAAACGAAAGUGCUCCGGGAUGAAUACAUCUGUUUCCGCCAGCCCCAAUAUGGCUGCGCCCUGGUGUCAGAGAAGCUGCGACUGUACUCUAGAAAAGAUCCUGCACCAUGAAAGUUAUCACAGAUAGUGUUAUAAGGCACCGGACAGACAGCAUCUCCAUCAUCAUCUGGGACAAACAGGAAAAGAAGCAGCCGGCUCUGUGUGUGUGAUCACCUAUAUACUAUGUAUUUUGGGGGAGUGCACACAUCUAGUCUAGGGGAGGGAACGUUCUCAUUCAUGAUGAGUCACUGAUCGGUUCAUAUGCAAACAAGGUUCAGCCUUGAUGGACAAAUUACAGGAGAUAGCCACUGGUCAGGCAUGCUGUCUUCCAGGAAAUCCAUUGUUCUAAUAAGAGUGACUUUAGCUUUCAUACAUUUAAUCAUAUCUACUUGUUGCAGUGAGCUACAACUUAAUAACAGGCAUCAAGUUGAUAUACACAUUAAUCUGGUUGCUUUAAUACCAAAUACGACAUGUCUAUCUUGUUUCGUUCCAAUAAUACACAUACAUGAUGUUACUCCAUUAAAUACAUUUAAAACAUUA